AGUGAACGCUGGCGGCGUGCUUAACACAUGCAAGUCGAACGAGAACGGAUUAUAGCUUGCUAUAAUUGUCAGCUAAGUGGCGCACGGGUGAGUAAUGUAUAGGUAAUAUGCCUCUUACUAAGGGAUAACAAAUGGAAACGUUUGCUAAUACCUUAUACUCCUUAUUAACAGAAGUUAAUAAGGGAAAGAUUUAUUGGUAAGAGAUUAGCCUGUAUUGUAUCAGUUAGUUGGUGGGGUAAUGGCUUACCAAGACUAUGACACAUAACUGGUUUGGGAGGAUGAUCAGUCACACUGGAACAGAGACACGGUCCAGACGCCUACGGGAUGCAGCGUUGGGGAAUAUUGCACAAUGGAAGAAAGUCGGAUGCAGCAACGCCACGUGGAGGAUGACACAUUUCGGUGCGUAAACUCCGUGUGUAUGAGAAGAAAAUUACGACAUUAUACGAAUAAGCACCGGCUACCUCCGUGCCAGCAGCCGCCGCGGUAA
rnacentral:rRNA from 1 species